GUACAUUUCCAAACUGGCUGGCAGAGCCAGGAGGAAGUGAAGGCAUUAGAAACACUAACUUUGGUUGGUUGCUACCGUCUUAGUGCUGAGACUAUAACCUUUGUUGGUUGAUUGAUAGAGAACAAGAGAACACAAUCCUCGUUCCACUAACAGUGCUUCUCUCCUACCAGAGGUGCAAGGAGUGAUCCUAGAACCACAGAUACAGCCAAGACCACGGAGAGCUUUUGACGUCAGGGGUCCACUUUCUCCACUGAACCCUUGGAGACAGAAUAUCCAGCUUCUGGAGAGAGUGGGAAAGGAUAAUAAACAAAUUUCUUUCAACUGGUAAAACAUCAUACUUCUUCAGCAAAAGGAAUUCUUCUAGCAGAGCCUUCAUGGAUGAUAUCUGUCACACAUGCCAGCACCUGCAGUUUGGAAGGCAGUGGUGAAUGGAUCCAUGCAAUAUGUCUAGAAGACACAAGGAUGAGCCAGCCACCUGAUCUUGUCAUUUAUAAACUUUUAAGAAUUACUCUGGUUUACUUUUGGUCUGAAAAUGGAAAGGCCCAAAUAAUGAAAUAAUCUUUUCAGAUUGGAAUUUUACAUGGCCAUGAAAAUAUUUCUUUCUAUUCAGAAGACUGAAAUAGAGGAAGCUUGAGAGACUCCUUUCUUUUAAAAGCGGCUCUCUGUAUCUGUUUCAUUUAAAACAUUUGUGGGAUUGAAAAUCACCUUAAUGAAGUAGGCAAACAUUUUUUUAAGUAGUAGAGGAAGUCCAGAAAACUUAAUGAAAUGGUUUUUUUUGUUGCCUGACACUGAAAGUAACUAGUAAAUAAAGGGUGAACUUCUUAAUUAUUCGAAAACUGCUUUUAAUAUUAGGAUAUACUCUUUUAGCUCAUCUUCGCUGGUCUUGAGGCUUAUUAUAAUUGUCAAAUCAACAAAGUUUCUAAUAGAGAAGUAGAAGAAAUAUCUUUUGAGAUGUAAGUAGCUUGGUCUGUCUUCUAAAGUAAUACAUACCUGUUAAACUUGAGGUAUUUUUUUCAUACUGAAGGCAUUCUAAAGUUUGGUACUGUCACAAAACAGUAGUUUACAGAGCAGAAGCACUUAGUAUUAGAAUAAGCCUGUAGGUGUGAAGGAAUAAGUGUUGCAAAAUAGUUAUUUAUCCAAGCUGUCAAUUAAUUGAUUGAAGUAGUUAUCAAAAUGUUUCUGUUUCUUUCUUUGGUAUCUAUUAACUGGUCAGUCAAAAGCUAUUAAAGAAUGUUUUUAAAGUCACCUAAUGCUGCCAGUUUGUUAAAUUUGGUAUACAUUUUAAGAAUAGACAUUCUAGAGUUAUUAAUAUGGAAGCAGCUAAAAUGUUUUAGGAAAUCUCAAAAGUUUUAGAAGCCACAUUUGCUAAAGCAUAACCUGCACUUAGUCUUUCUUGGCUAUCUGUAUUUUUUUCUCAUUAAUUAUAAAUAAAUUUUUGUUAAGUAUAGUAUUUAAAAGUAAGUUUAAAGGUUCAAUUUGAACUGAAAUUUCCCCAGAGAGCUUUGAAUUCCCAUAAGUGAUUACAGCUUUUACUCCCGACUUGUUUUUAGUAAAUGUUAAUAAGACAAUUGGUUUACAAACACAUAUAAAUUAAAAAAAACAACUGUCCAUCGUUUUAGGAAGAACUGAAGGAACUAAAAAUGAUAUUUGCUUGGAAAUUAAGUUAGUUGAACUCUUUGAACCACAGUAGAAACCGCUUUGUGUGGCCUGUGAGAUUAUAAGCUUUUUGUUUCAGCUUUGAAGAUGAAAAGUGAUUUAAUCUCUUAAUCUCAUGCUUUGAUUGAAUUUUAGCUCUGUUCCUUAAAAUAUGCAAAAGGAAAUGUAAGUGCAUUUCUAGUCACCUCAUGCCACUACAAGCUAUUUAUUUAAAAGUGAAACUUUUUGUAUAUUAUUGUGAACUGAUUUGUUUAUUUAAACUUUUAUUUUGGUGAAUUUACCUUUGAGUUUUUUUAUAUUUUAUGUCACAAAAUGAAGUCCUAUAUUUUUCAGUGUUUAUGAAUAUUAAUAUAAACUAUUUUUUUCUAGAAUGACUAAUUGUGUAAUAUCUGUAUUAUGUGAUAAUUUGAAAUCUAAUAAAUAUUUUCUCCAUGAAAAAAAUGCACUUACUGAUAAUGGCUUAUUUCUGUUUCAGGAGUAGAAAGUGAAAACUGCAACAGUAUUUUUAAAUGUAUUUUAAUUUUCUGUGUCUUUCUCUAAAUAUUUCUGAAUAUGUAUUCUUUCUG
rnacentral:lncRNA from 1 species